rnacentral:rRNA from 1 species
AGAACGAACGCUGGCGGCAUGCCUAAUACAUGCAAGUCGAACGAACUCUUCGGAGUUAGUGGCGCACGGGUGCGUAACGCGUGGGAAUCUGCCCCUUGGUUCGGAAUAACAGUUGGAAACGACUGCUAAUACCGGAUGAUGACGAAAGUCCAAAGAUUUAUCGCCCAGGGAUGAGCCCGCGUAGGAUUAGCUAGUUGGUGAGGUAAAGGCUCACCAAGGCGACGAUCCUUAGCUGGUCUGAGAGGAUGAUCAGCCACACUGGGACUGAGACACGGCCCAGACUCCUACGGGAGGCAGCAGUAGGGAAUAUUGGACAAUGGGACGAAAGCCUGAUCCAGCAAUGCCGCGUGAGUGAUGAAGGCCUUAGGGUUGACAA